GAUGAACGCUGGCGGCGUGCUUAACACAUGCAAGUCGAACGGUGAGCCCGGAGCUUGCUCUGUGGGAUCAGUGGCGAACGGGUGAGUAACACGUGAGCAACCUGCCCCUGACUCUGGGAUAAGCGCUGGAAACGGCGUCUAAUACUGGAUAUGUGACGUGACCGCAUGGUCUGCGUUUGGAAAGAUUUUUCGGUUGGGGAUGGGCUCGCGGCCUAUCAGCUUGUUGGUGAGGUAAUGGCUCACCAAGGCGUCGACGGGUAGCCGGCCUGAGAGGGUGACCGGCCACACUGGGACUGAGACACGGCCCAGACUCCUACGGGAGGCAGCAGUGGGGAAUAUUGCACAAUGGGCGCAAGCCUGAUGCAGCAACGCCGCGUGAGGGAUGACGGCCUUCGGGUUGUAAACCUCUUUUAGCAGGGAAGAAGCGAAAGUGACGGUACCUGCAGAAAAAGCGCCGGCUAACUACGUG
rnacentral:rRNA from 1 species